GAUGAACGCUGGCGGCGUGCCUAAUACAUGCAAGUCGAGCGAACGGACGAGAAGCUUGCUUCUCUGAUGUUAGCGGCGGACGGGUGAGUAACACGUGGAUAACCUACCUAUAGGACUGGGAUAACUUCGGGAAACCAGAGCUAAUACCGGAUGAUAUUUUGAACCGCAUGGUUCAAAAGUGAAAGACGGUCUUGCUGUCACUUAUAGAUGGAUCCGCGCUGCAUUAGCUAGUUGGUAAGGUAACGGCUUACCAAGGCAACGAUGCAUAGCCGACCUGAGAGGGUGAUCGGCCACACUGGAACUGAGACACGGUCCAGACUCCUACGGGAGGCAGCAGUAGGGAAUCUUCCGCAAUGGGCGAAAGCCUGACGGAGCAACGCCGCGUGAGUGAUGAAGGUCUUCGGAUCGUAAAACUCUGUUAUUAGGGAAGAACAUAUGUGUAAGUAACUGUGCACAUCUUGACGGUACCUAAUCAGAAAGCCACGGCUAACUACGUG
rnacentral:rRNA from 1 species